CUUUUCUCAGUCCUCUCCCACCGAUUUCUGGUAGUAGGACUGGAGCUCCCCCAGAAACAUGUUAACACAGUCUGUUUCUUUGAGGUUUUUGUGUCUACACAU